UGCGCAGCCUUAAACUUUAGUAAAAUAUUACAUUUUAUUCGCCAGGGUACUACGAGCAUAAGCUUGAAACCUAAAGGAAUUGGCGGUGCUUUAGUCCCACCUAGAGGAGCCUGUUCUAUAACCGAUAACCCCCGUUAAACCUCACCUUUUCUUGUUUUUUCCGCCUAUAUACCGCCGUCGUCAGCUUACCCUGUGAAGGCUUAYUAGUAAGCAAAAUUGAUUUAAUUUAAAACGUCAGGUCGAGGUGUAGCAUAUGAGAAGGAAAGAAAUGGGCUACAUUUCCUAUUUUAGGAUAUAACGGAAAUUGACAUGAAACACGCAUAUUAAAGGAGGAUUUAGCAGUAAGAAGGGAAUAGAGAGCCCUACUGAAACUGGCCCUGAAGC
rnacentral:rRNA from 1 species